ensembl:lncRNA
AAGGCAUGAAUGCUUGAACAAACCUACUAGUAGAAAAACUUGUAAAAACUUGGUAAAUUAGGAAAAAAAAAAUCAGAUUACAUGCACUUAAGCAGAAGGAUGAACAAAAAUGCAAAAAAAAAAAAAAAAGCACUUAAUUAUGAAGAUAAUGUCAGAUUUUCCAGUUACAGAUGGUACAACUUAUUUAGUCUCCUGCAAAGACUCAGGUGGCAGCUAUUGCCUUGUGUUCACAGCCACGGCUGACAUGCGUGGCCAGCUGCCUGCAGUUCUACCCAGCACUGCAGAUGAGCCACUCUGGGCUACCAAAUCACCCACAGUCUCAGGAAGAUGGAUGUUCUUUAUCAUCUUUCAGUCUUCGGAGGAAUUUGUUAAUGGCUUUGCGACAAUGGUUCAUCUCAGAUAUGGUUUAAAGAUGACAUCGUUAGGAGGAGGAAUAGCCAGAAGGGUUUUGGUUGCCAUUUGGUGAGUCUGGGAAGGAGCUAGAUGCCAAAAAGAGUUGUAGAAAGGAGCAGGCAUCAUCCAGACUAGUGAGAAGUGGUAGGACUAGAACUUAAAGGCUUUGAGAACUGUAGAACUUAUGAUUAAAAGAAAUGCAUGGAAGUAAGCAUCUUGAAAGGCGUGCAACAAGUUUUAUGGCAUAUCUCUAACUAAGGCAAAAUAUUGAAAAUUGCCAUAGAUUUGUUUACAAGAGUAUAUUUGUAUGUGUGGGAAUCUCUGACCGAGGACAUGCCCUAUGGCAUGUUCUAGACCUGUUCUGUGCAGUGUAUCAAUUUAAUCCCUGAGGCAACUGUUUCAGCAUUAGAACAAAUAAACCAAGGUUGUAUUGCAUUUUGGAUUCAUGAACUGCUCUGGUUGUCGUGUACCAAAUUAUUUGUGGUAAAGUAAUAGAAGUAAGAGUAAGUAUCCUGGGAAGUAAAGGUUGUGUCUUGCCAUGUCUCUAAUGGAUGUGUAUGUUUAACUAGCACAUUAUCUAGUACAUUUAAUCCUUUGUGAAUAUGAGGUUUUAUUUAGGAAUUUUUCUGUUUCUCAGCAAAACUGUUGACUGCUCCCUAUAAUAAUAAAUAGACUGUUGAUAAAAUAUGCCACUGGUAUUUUGUAAAUAUAAUUAGUCUGGAAGUUCUGUUUCUUUUUGCAGUUCUACAGUUGUCUGUUGUGACCUUCUCCUCAUAGUAACAAACAUGAAAAAUACGCUUGGAAUGUACGUGAAAGUUAUUUUCGAUUGCUCUACAAAAGCCAUUGACAGUUUGUUGCAUACUGUUGCAUCUUUUUUAUUUAUUUGACCAGGACCAGGCCAAAUGUAUGUUCUAAGCCUAAAGUAUAAUCAGUUACCAGUUCAUACCUUUGUUCUUGUAUGACCCUGUUUGUCCUUUGUGUUUGUUAUAUGAGCUAUCAUACCUGCAUAUAUAUGAUUUAUGUUUUUAAUAGUUCUGACAUAAAACUAGGCCUAGUUGGCUGAAGAAGAGUUCAUAGAAAAUAUUCAAUACAUGGAUUCUUGUGCUAAUACGAGUGCACUGUUUCUGUCCAAGCAGUCAGGCAGCUCUGAAUCUUUCCUGGAUGUGGCUGUAAAUUUAAAUGCUUUUGAUAACAAGCACAAAGUGUGCUUGCUGUUUGUUUUCUGUUUGUAAGAAAAAAGAAUAGAGCCUUUUCAGUGUUUACCUACACAGAUGAACAUCUGCCCUUCCAGUUUUAGAUUAUUUUUGUUUUACAUUAAGGAAAAAUAGCAAUGACCAAACAUUCUGCACACACACACACAAAAUUCAGACACUUCAUAUAGCUCAUCUGAAAUACAAAAUGCUGUGGUGCAGGAGCAGGUUUGGAAACAUCAAAGUGGAAAUGACUGUGGGUCCGUGUUAUUUAAAACUUGGACCAGUGACUUGCUUUGAAUCAUGUUGCUAUCAAACGAUCUUUAAAACAUGUUUGCAAUUAUGCCAAAAUUGUGAAGUUCCUAGGUCACUUUAGCAAGGUGAAAGUCUUCUUGAGGUAUCACUCCCUUGAGAAGUUUGCAUUAGUAAUUUUCAGGUAGGCAUUAUGGAGAAUAUAUAUUUGCUCCGCAUUAGAUUAAGAGUCCUUAAGAUUAGAUGAAGAGUCCUUCAUCUCUGUGGUAGCACACGGUAUGUUUUAUUUUGUCCUAAGAGACAUGGCCAUUCUGUAAAAACUAGAUUCUCCACGAAGAGAAAACCAAAAUACUUAAUAGGCUGGACUCCCAGUACUGGAAACUGCCAUCACCGAGCCCACUGGUGCAAUCCUGCUGUGAUGUCUGUGCCCACCAUCCUGAUCUGUUGAGGUCCUAGAUGGAGCUCCGCACUGACCUGCAUGCAAUGCAAGCGUGCUUCCAGCCUUUGGCAGCCUUUCAGCAAUGGUAUGUUCCACCUACAUGUAAUAGUUCUUAUCUUGUUUAUUUUGAAAGUCUUAUUCUGUAAGAAAUCCCAUCUAAGCUAAAAGAUGUUAGUCGUAAUGCUACUUUCUGUCAUAUAUCCACUGUCUAUCAGAUACCCAGAUGCACAUUCAUUUUGGGGGAAGCAGUUCUACAUGCUUUAAUUAGGAAAGGCUUCCUAUUACCACCGACUUUUUUUAGAACAUGGGAUUUCAUUUAUAAAUAAGUAUUUUUUUUUUUAAGAGUAGAACUUCCCACCUCCUAGUUCUGCCAGGUCCUUCUUUAUGCUUGUUAUUUUACCAGUGUCCUGCUCCUGGAGACAGAUUAUUUUGUUGGCUGCAUCUAAUCCUCUUUCCUGAAAAAGAAAUGAAAAAUAGAUUGCACCUGCGUCUUGUGAAAGUCACAUUGCACCUCUCAGGAGUAAUGCUGAAUCCUUAAGGUGGCACUGUGUGUACCAGCACUGAUGUUCUGCAAGGACUAGAAGAAACUUCUGAGGGAAGCACACUGGUCAAGGCUGCCAUGUAUGGAACUGUGAGCCCGCUGUUAUACAACGUGAUCCAGAACGUGUGGCUGACGCUUCGCUCGAGUUAAGCCUGCCUUUCUUAGCACUGUUGCUGUGGGCAGGAACGCGCACGAUGCUCUAUGCUGCUGCUUUGAGCCCGUCUCAAAGCCACGUUCUCGCUUUCUUGGGAGCAUCGAGCAAAGGCGAUCCCCCUCUUGUGGAAGGAAAUGGAACGCCACUGCGAGUUCUAAAUUCUGCUUCCAAGCCUCCGCACGCUCGGAGCCAGACCGGACCUGGAGAAAGCCGGAGAAAGGUGUGCAGCUCUCCUUAUUUAUUGGCGUGAUGUGGGCAAGAGCACAAGUAAGGUAUCGUUAUCCGAACAAAGAUGUUUUGGUUCAGAUACAUACUGCAUCGUUACAACCUUCUCUUGUGAAGUUCUUCUCUUGUGCUGCUGUUGGUGCACAUCUAACCGAGGUGUCUGGUUCAGAAGCCUGGCGUUGAAUUUAUGGCAAUCACCAGCAAAUUGGCCUCUCUUCUGUUUCUAAAUGACUCUUUGCACUUCUAAAUUACUCUUUGCAACUCUAUAAGGAGAAAGGAUUUAUUACAACUUUAAGCCCAGUGCAUAUUCCUUUCUGAUCUCUGCAUGUAGAUGAGUGUUCUCAAACAGCCCCAGGUUUUUUCUUGCGUUGGUCUGGUGUUAUUGUUUGUUUGUUUUGUAUUUUUUCCCCCCAAUUCAAACUCUGCCCUCCCUCUGUGAGGUGUGGCCCACUGUUGGUUUUGGCUCUGUG